CGCUGGCGCGUGCCUAACACAUGCAAGUCAACUUGACUGAAGGAGCAAUCUGACAGUAGAGUGGCGCAAGGGUGCGUAACGCGUAAGUAACUUGCCCAAGGUAAGGAAUAACGUCGAGAAAUCGGCGCUAAUACCUCAUAAUGCAGCGGAUCCGCAUGGAUAUGUUGUUAAAGGUUUACCGCCUUGGGAUAGGCUUGCGUCUGAUUAGCUAGUUGGUGUGGUAACGGCACACCAAGGCUACGAUCAGUAACUGGUCUGAGAGGAUGAUCAGUCACACUGGAACUGAGACACGGUCCAGACUCCUACGGGAGGCAGCAGUGAGGAAUAUUGGGCAAUGCUCGAAAGAGUGACCCAGCAACGCCGCGUGGAGGAUGAAGGUAUUCUAUAUCGUAAACUCCUGUGAGAGCAGACGAAAGACAGAUUAUUAAUCUGGAUGACUGUAUGCUCAGAGGAAGCCCCGGCUAACUACGUG
rnacentral:rRNA from 1 species